rnacentral:lncRNA from 1 species
AUGGCAAUCGCUUCUGCCAGCAGAGCAGCACCACAGCUCGCAGGCAGCACCUGCAUCCUCUGCCUUCCCCACAGCAGGACAAGCAGGCUGCCCCCCUUCCUCCCUCGCGCACUUAAUCCCGGAGAGAAGAUCUCAACCUGGCACGCUUUUCCAUCUGCUGAGCUGGCCUGUGCCAGCAGGAAACCCAAUCCAGCGCUGGGGGAGGAGACAAAACAAAGACUUUUAUGUACAUCAGAAAAGAGGUAUUUGAACAAAAACAACCCUGCGCCUGUUUUCAGCUCUGUCACAGGCCUUGGUGCUGGAGAUUUUCCUAUUCCCUGUCCUACCUGCUGCUCAUCUGAUUCCCAGGGAAGACAGAGCCCUCUCAGAUUUCGCUCUCCAGAGCCGGCCACGGAGCUCCUGGGCACAGCCAGUCCCCUCUGCCCGGCGUCCCAACCCGACCCCGCGCACAUGCAAUGGGCAGGAGCUUCCCCCCAUGCUUGCUCCCCUCCUCGCACUUUCGGCGUCAGUGGUGAGGCCCCAGCUGACGUGCACACAGCACCUCGGGGCCGGCUGGCCCACGGCAGAGCCCUGGGGAAGCAGCUCAGCCCCGUUUCCCAAGCCUCCCGCACAAAGCCGAGGCACGCGGCGAGGGAGGGAGAGGCUCCAGGGUUCCCACAACAAGGUGCUUGUUCGGGACGUGCCCUCCCAGGCCGAGGAGGCUCAGCCAGCAAAUCCAGAAGCGCAACAUCCUCCUCAUUAACCGGAGCGAGCCCUGGGCUGGCAGGGCGGCGCGCGACGGCGGGGACCGAGAGGGCGAGCACAGCGCACCUCCCAGCCCGCAUGGCAUCGACCCCGCGCUUGCAGCUGGCAAGCUGGACGGGUGCGGAGCAUCAUCAGCCCCUUCCUCACUCCAGGAGGAAAAGCAGCAGCCAGCAGGUCACAGCCUUUCCUAGGCAGCAGCCGGUCUCCCUCCACGAAGACAAGGUUCCCACCUGGCCUCAGUCGUGGUCCAGCACAAGCUGGGGAUGGAGAAGGGGCUCUGGAUACUUCCCACAGCUGGACUUCCCUGGCUCCUCAUGA